rnacentral:lncRNA from 1 species
UAAUUCUAAACAAAAUUUAUAUCAUAUUCACAAAUCAUAACUAAGUAUUAAUUAAAGCAUGAUCCAAAAAAAACUAAGUAUAAUCAAGUACAUGAUACAACCAAUUUAACAAAAUAAAAACAAAUACUACUCAAUAUGAUCACUACCAAUGUCAUCAUCCCCACUAUCUUCAUCCAAGUUGGAAAUUAGAGGAAUACCAAAUUUCCUUCAAUUGUUCCGACAUUCUUUCUCCCAUCCAAGUUGGCUUAUUUUUCAAAUCUUGCGUGCAUCUUGCAUUAGUUGCGACAUCUUAGCUGCACUCCUUUUUUCAAAGUUGCGUCACACCAUGUCGUUCAAAGUUGGGGGCCAUGUAAACCUUUUCUGUAAUGGAAAAAACAGAAGUAGUGGGAGAAGAUGAACAAAACGGAUGAACAAAACAUAAACAAUAUCUUACACACAUCAUUCUAGGAAUCAGGCUAAGAGAGUAAUUAAAAACCACACAAUACAUAAACUAACUAAUUAAUCGACCAAACAGAUUACAUUGAGAAAUAUUUUAUGAGCAGAUGUAUAUGUGAAUGAACAUAAAAAGUAAGAAAUAAUAUUGGAUUUAUGAAAUGUAUAUGUGAAUCUAUGUUUUAUAUAUAUAGGAAGUAGCAGAGUGUCAAAGAGCAGAUGCAGCAAAUAGUCUUGUUUAUGAAGCAAAUGUGAGGCUAAGAGGUCCAAUGUAUAGAUGCAUGGGUGAAAUUUCAGCAUUACGACAACAUGUUCAAUCUUUACAAUCUAUACUGAUGAAUGUGAACAUUAACUACAUCUGGGGUCAAAUGACUUUCAUUUUUACACAACUUACAUAGACAUCUUAUUACACCUUCAUUCAAAUUAAAUGGGAUAGUACUUAUUGUAGGCACAAAUCCAUUUAAUAUAAUUGAUGAUGCAAUUUGACUACAACAAUCUGCAGGAAAAUCUGGUGAUAUGCAAAUACAAUUGGUCAACGACAAUCACAAGAAAAUCUGAAGUCAAAUAAAUGAAUAGAAUGUUAUGUUAUCAAUAUAAAAUUUUGUGUGCACUAGAAGAGGUAGCACUAGAUAUAAUUGAGCAUAUGGAGUUUGCAACACAAUCUAUGAUGAAUGCAGAGCAUUAAAUUCGGCAUACACUAUAAGCACAAGAAAGAGUAAAAAUAGGUGUAGAAAUAUAAUAUCCUAGAAAUUCAGACUCCCAAUUGUUUCAGGAAGUUCCUAGCAUAUAGCUAAUCAAACAAGCAACUUGGCCCAAAACUCCAAACAUAAAACCACAUGAUAUCAUAUAAUUAGACAAACACAACUUUUGUAAAAAAUAUGUACAACAAUUACAAGAUUCAACAUCUUCUUUUCUUUGGAUACUGCAGAAAGUUAAGCUUGAAAAAAUCAAUAUCUGUUAAGCUUGGAAAAAUCAAUAUAUGUGUUCAAUAUUUUAGGAGCAUAAUACAUAAAAUCUUGUUCUACAAAUCAAAGAGAAAAAAAGUGACACUAAACCAUAGAAAAAGAAAACCAAUAUUCCAAAAAUAGAGCUGAUAUACACUACUAUAGCAGAGAAGAAACGAAAAAAAGUAAAAAACAGCACCAUCCAGAUAUAUUUUAACUUGAUAUUAUUAUUUGACUAUCUAAGGAACAAAAAACAACACAAAUCUGCAUUUUUGGUUGACAAAAUCAUUAGAACCACCGAAAGUGAAAACUUACAAUAUGUAUAAAAGUAAAAUAAAAAGCUGGCCAUGCUCAAACUAAUAUCUGAAAACUGAAAACAAAUAUAUAAAUAUGUCAUUCUUAGUACACAAAGAAUAAAAUGAAUAUGAAAAUUUGGAUAAAAAGAAAACCAAAUAUUAGAAGAAAAAAUAUAAAUACCACAAUAGCCUUUUAGAAAUGAAAGGUAAUGUUUCCUACAAUAGAUCCUUGAUGGGUUCAAGUCUUUUAUUUUCAUUGUCUGGAUGCACAAUCACAAGCAACCUAAGGCAUAAUUAACAACAAAAAGAGACUGAAGUCGUGGUUCAGGUGUUCUGUUAGGUGGUUGUGACUGAAAUGGUGCGACAGAAGCACAAUAAUCAACAAUGAAAAGAGAAGAACACAGGUUGUGUGAUAGUAAAAGAAAAUCACGAAAAAAUAAUAGAAGAAUGUGGACCUAAAAUGGCUUACCUUACCUAUCAAUAUCAACUAUCAAUUAUUGCAGAAUGCAUAUGAUAAAUAUUCUAUGCAAAAUAGUUUUACUUUGUAAGUACUUUGUUGUAGGUGUACAUUAAAAGCAAAUAAGCAAAUGGUUUAUUAAUCAAAGGAAAAGGCGUCGGAAGCCUUCCGAGGAAAUGCAGUGACAUAUUGAAGGGAUAUGAAUGCAAAAGGCAACACAUGAUACACCAUUCAAUGCAUUAUUUUCCCUGAACAUGGAAACUUUUUUAUUUGAUCAGUAAUACAAAUAUGCAUCUUGACCAUUUAAUCUUCACAUGUUUAUAAGAUACUCAAUGUCACAUGAAUUAAAUUCACUUGAAUAUAGAAAUAUGUAACACUCUAAUAAUAUAGAAUUGCUUUCUAUUUAUUAUUUUUAUAAGAAUAUGAACUCAUUUUCAUUCUAUUUUUUUCUUUUCCACUAUAGUUUCUAUAUCUGAAAAUGAAAAUAGAAGAAAGAAAGACAUGAGUUUCAAUCAAUAAAACUUCAAAUCAAUUUUAAAAUGAUAUCUAAUUAAGUUUUGAACAAUGAAACUUCAAAUCAAUUUUAAAAUGAUAUCUAAUUAAGUUUUAAACAAUAGAGAGAAAUCGAAAUACACAUACAACAAAAACUAACUACAUGGACUAACAACCUUUAAGUUGGUGACUAUGACUAGCAAUAUCAAACGUAGUAUGUGAGAUCAAGUUAAAACAUCAUUUCCUAAACAUACACAACAACAAAUUGGACAUUCAAAACCCUAAGCGAAGUUAAAAUUAGCUUCAACCUAAAUCUCUUACUUUAACCAAACACAAAAUCAAGUAAACCAGAAAAAAGAAUUAAAAUGUACCACGAUUAAUGUCACAAACUAACGAGAAAGUAGCAUUAGUGAUAGAAUCAAAUACCUCAAUAAAUUGAAAUUGAAAAAUCGGCUUAAAAAGCUAAGAAAUAUUUGAGGAAUGAGAAGCGCAAAUCAAUGCAAAUGAGAAGCGCAACCGUGAAGAAUCUGUGGGAGAGAAAAUGAAAAUAUGAUAAGAAAAUCCACAAUUUUGAAGAAUAACAUAAAAUCCCUAAUUUUGAACAUAUGAAAAACCUUAGCAAUGAUUUCAGAAUACAAAUAUAUUACUAGUAAUCUCAAUCAAAUAAUGAAUCAACCAAAUCACAAAACCCUAAAACAAUGUAAUUUUGCGAUACCAUACCUUGUUGAGUCGAUGAUUGUUAACUGUAGUUGAAGGCCGAACAAGGAGGUAUUGGUGGCUCGGUUUGCACCUUCGUGAACGGAGGAGGGCGGUGGAGGCCUUGGUGGUGGCUAUUUGCGAUGAAAUGAGGAAGAGAAAGGAGAAGAAGAGAGGUCUCGGUGGUUGAUCACAGAAGUGGUUGCUGAGAAAAUAGAAAUAAAAUAGAAGUUUUCAAGUUAAUGUCGUUGCCAAAUGGAGUGUAG